rnacentral:lncRNA from 1 species
UCAAACAUAUACAGGCCAACAUCAGGCCUACACUAACCAAAUACACACCAAGCCUACGCAUGAGUUCAAUACUCAUGUAGUGUUAGACACUUAGACUAUACAAGUAUCAUUAAUUGAUCAACCAACAAUCAAACAAGAACAUGAUCGGCCAACCAAUGAUACCGCAUAGCUUUAAUAUCCACCACCCUUCACAAGCAAUCCCUCAAACAUAUACAGGCCAACAUCAGGCCUACACUAACCAAAUACAC